GCCAGUAUGGCUCAGUGGUUGAGCAUCAACCUUAGAACCAGGAGGUCAUGGUUCGAUUCCCUGUCAGGGCA
rnacentral:tRNA from 1 species